UGGUAGUUAGUUUAAACAAAAUUAUUGAUUUCGACUCAUUAGAUUAUGAUUAACUUCAUAACUACCAA
rnacentral:tRNA from 2 species